GACGAACGCUGGCGGUGUGCUUAACACAUGCAAGUCGAACGGAAAGGCCCUGCUUUUGUGGGGUGCUUGAGUGGCGAACGGGUGAGUAACACGUGAGUAACCUGCCCUUGACUUUGGGAUAACUUCAGGAAACUGGGGCUAAUACCGGAUAGGAGCUCCUGCUGCAUGGUGGGGGUUGGAAAGUUUCGGCGGUUGGGGAUGGACUCGCGGCUUAUCAGCUUGUUGGUGGGGUAGUGGCUUACCAAGGCUUUGACGGGUAGCCGGCCUGAGAGGGUGACCGGCCACAUUGGGACUGAGAUACGGCCCAGACUCCUACGGGAGGCAGCAGUGGGGAAUAUUGCACAAUGGGCGGAAGCCUGAUGCAGCAACGCCGCGUGCGGGAUGACGGCCUUCGGGUUGUAAACCGCUUUCGCCUGUGACGAAGCGUGAGUGACGGUAAUGGGUAAAGAAGCACCGGCUAACUACGUG
rnacentral:rRNA from 1 species